rnacentral:rRNA from 1 species
CCUACGGGCGGCACCAGUGGGGAAUAUUGCACAAUGGGCGCAAGCCUGAUGCAGCCAUGCCGCGUGUGUGAGGAAGGCCUUCGGGUUGUAAAGCACUUUCAGCGGGGAGGAAGGCGAUAAGGUUAAUAACCUUGUCGAUUGACGUUACCCGCAGAAGAAGCACCGGCUAACUCCGUGCCAGCAGCCGCGGUAAUACGGAGGGUGCAAGCGUUGAUCGGAAUUACUGGGCGUAAAGCGCACGCAGGCGGUCUGUCAAGUCGGAUGUGAAAUCCCCGGGCUUAACCUGGGAACUGCAUUCGAAACUGGCAGGCUAGAGUCUUGUAGAGGGGGGUAGAAUUCAGGUGUAGCGGUGAAAUGCGUAGAGAUCUGGAGGAAUACCGGUGGCGAAGGCGGCCCCCUGGACAAAGACUGACGCUCAGAUGCGAAAGCGUGGGGAGCAAACAGGAUUAGAUACCCUCGUAGUC